ensembl:lncRNA
AGUUUGCACUGUCUGAAAGCUUGGUCUAUCCAUCCUCCAUCAAGACUUACCCAGUACUUCUGAUGUACCUUUCCUGACUCCCCUUGUAUUGUUCAAUUAUGAUAAUUAUAAUAUGAUGUACUUAGCUCUUACCUCGGGUCAGGAAACGCACUUUUCCUUAGAAGAAAGAAUGAGAUCACAGUAAAAAACAAGAGACUGGACAAAGACUUGGCUUGUCAUCAUGGCUCCAUUAUUUACCAGGUAUGCAAACUUUGGUGCCUUAAAACCUCUCCCUGCUUCACUUUCCUCCUCUGAAAUGUGAAGAUGGAGUACCCGCACCUACCUACCUUUGUACUUUUACCCCAGACCAGCCAAUGGUCGAGUCAGGCCAGCAAGCAGGAACGUUCCCACAGCUAAAGCUAGAAUCGUUUCUCUCUUCUUCUUAAAACAACCACGUUGCUUCGUAAGAACGAGAGACAGCAGUGAUGCUUUCGGAGAAGACAGUGGCACCCCACUCCAGUACUCUUGCCUGGAAAAUCCCAUGGACGGAGGAGUCUGGUGGGCUGCAGUCCAUGGGGUCGCUAAGAGUCAGACACGACUGAGCGACUUCACUUUCACUUUUCACUUUCGUGCAUUGGAGAAGGAAAUGGCAACCCACUCCAGUGUUCUUGCCUGGAGAAUCCCAGGGACGGGGGAGCCUGGUGGGCUGCCGUCUAUGGGGUCGCACAGAGUCGGACACGACUGAAGUGACUUAGCAGCAGCAGCAGCAGCGAUGCUUUAUCAGGAAAAUGGCAGAUCCAUCUGUUCCUUGUUGAUGGUCGAUUUAGCCAACAAAGAAGGGCAGGCCUGCUCAUACGUCUUUAUAAUCACUACAAAAUGACUAACAUGAGAAAGAUAAUUUUUCAAAACUCUACUUUUUAGCAUGACAACUAUCGUAUUUAUUAGAAAAUAAAUGUCUCCAAUGCUAUGCUUCUCCCUAACAAGAUCCAUAUGCAGAAAGGUUAGCCACAGAAAAAGCAAAUCUACUUGUCAGGUAGAUUUCUACUUGUCAAGGUCAGGUUCUCAAGGAGAUAAAGCCCACUUUCAUUUUUCAGCGCAAGGAAAUUCUCCCUUGAUCAUCUGUAGAAAUGCUUGUUCGUGAGGCCGCACUUGCAGAGAUUCCUGGUGGAGAACCCUGAGGGGUGCAGCUGCAUUUCCACACCAACCAGGAAAUGCCACUUGCCAGUGUCAACUGGGGCCGCAUUGUUGUAAGCGGGGCAGCCUCUCUUAUCAGGCGUAGGCCAGCGAAAGAGGAAAGUGGAAAUCUCAGAAGCGCACCUCUGGAGAGCAAAGCAAGUGCCGUAUCAGUGUGGAUUGUGUUAGAAGGAUGGACAUUCUGACUGAUAACCAAUCUGACGGGUCCUUUUGCUCUUUAAAAAAAGGAAAAGGAACUGCAGGGCCUUGUAGGAAAGGAAACUGCCAGUGAGCCCAAUCUACACAGAAAUCAAUUUCACACGGCCAUAAUUCAAGGAAAUAGGGCGGCAGACAAGGAGCUGAACCAGGAGCAGAAGCAGGUUAAGCUGAGCCCCCACCUCCCACCCGGUGAAGCACCCUCCCUCAGAACCCGUCCAUCAGGAAGCAGCAUCACCUAAGAACAUAAAUGCCUGCACUGAAGCUUAGCAUCCAGUCCAGCUGUUCCAACAGACCAAUUGGAAGUACAAGAAUCAAAAAUAGGUUUGCAGAGAGAUGAUCUCUUCUCCCAUAAUAAAUUCAGCAUUUGCUGACAAAGAAAGACUGGCAAUGUCUUUCCCUUUAAUGAACAUACUCGGAGGCUCACACACUAAUCCC